GUACACUCCUACGGGAGGCAGCAGUGGGGAAUAUUGCACAAUGGGCGCAAGCCUGAUGCAGCCAUGCCGCGUGUCUGAAGAAGGCCUUCGGGUUGUAAAGUACUUUCAGCGGGGAGGAAGGCGAUAAGGUUAAUAACCUUGUUGAUUGACGUUACCCGCAGAAGAAGCACCGGCUAACUCCGUGCCAGCAGCCGCGGUAAUACGGAGGGUGCAAGCGUUAAUCGGAAUUACUGGGCGUAAAGCGCACGCAGGCGGUCUGUCAAGUCGGAUGUGAAAUCCCCGGGCUCAACCUGGGAACUGCAUUCGAAACUGGCAGGCUAGAGUCUUGUAGAGGGGGGUAGAAUUCCAGGUGUAGCGGUGAAAUGCGUAGAGAUCUGGAGGAAUACCGGUGGCGAAGGCGGCCCCCUGUACAAAGACUGACGCUCAGGUGCGAAAGCGUGGGGAGCAAACAGUAUUAGAUACCCGAGUAGUCCCAUG
rnacentral:rRNA from 1 species